GACGAACGCUGGCGGCGUGCUUAACACAUGCAAGUCGAACGAGUGGCGAACGGGUGAGUAAUACGAGAGUAAGCUGCCCUCUUUUUGGGAUAAGCUUUGGCAACGGGGUCUAAUCCAGAAUAAAGGGGGAUGGGCUGGCGGCCUAUCGGCUUGUUGGUGGGGUGAUGGCGUACGAAGGCGGUGACGGGUAGCCGGCCUGAGAGGGUACACGGGCACAUUGGGACUGCGAAAAGGCCCAGAGGCCGACGCGAGGCAGCAGUGGGGGAUAUUGCCGAAUGGGCGAAAGCCUGAUGCCGCGUCACCGAGGAGGGGUUUCGGGCUUUAAGGUUGUAUUGCUCUUUCGCUAUCGAACGGUAGGUGACGAGGAAGCCCCGGCUAACUACGUGCCAGCAGCCGCGGUAAUAC
rnacentral:rRNA from 1 species